rnacentral:rRNA from 1 species
GACGAACUGUGCGAACGUUAUUCGGAAUCACUGGGCUUAAAGCGCGUGUAGGCGGAUGGGUGCGUCGGCUUCUGAAAGCCCCCGGCUCAACCGGGGAAGUGGGGCCGAAACGACCCGUCUGGAGGGACGUAUGGGGAUCUGGAACUUCCGGUGGAGCGGUGAAAUGCGUUGAGAUCGGAAGGAACGCCCGUGGCGAAAGCGAGAUCCUGGACGUCUUCUGACGCUGAGACGCGAAAGCUAGGGGAGCAAACGGG